rnacentral:rRNA from 1 species
GACGAACGCUGGCGGCGUGCUUAACACAUGCAAGUCGAACGGAAAGGCCCUGCUUUUGUGGGGUGCUCGAGUGGCGAACGGGUGAGUAACACGUGAGUAACCUGCCCUUGACUUUGGGAUAACUUCAGGAAACUGGGGCUAAUACCGGAUAGGAGCUCCUGCUGCAUGGUGGGGGUUGGAAAGAUUCGGCGGUUGGGGAUGGUCUCGCGGCUUAUCAGCUUGUUGGUGGGGUAGUGGCUUACCAAGGCUUUGACGGGUACCCGGCCUGAGAGGGUGACCGGCCACAUUGGGACUGAGAUACGGCCCAGACUCCUACGGGAGGCAGCAGUGGGGAAUAUUGCACAAUGGGCGGAAGCCUGAUGCAGCAACGCCGCGUGCGGGAUGACGGCCUUCGGGCUGUAAACCGCUUUCGCCUGUGACGAAGCGUGAGUGACGGUAAUGGGUAAAGAAGCACCGGCUAACUACGUG